rnacentral:rRNA from 1 species
UACGUAGGGACCAAGCGUUGUUCGGAUUUACUGGGCGUAAAGAGCUCGUAGGCGGUCUGUCGCGUCUGCUGUGAAAACCUAGGGCUUAACUCUGGGCGUGCAGUGGGUACGGGCGGGCUAGAGUGCGGUAGGGGGAGACUGGAAUUCCUGGUGUAGCGGUGAAAUGCGCAGAUAUCAGGAGGAACACCGGUGGCGAAGGCGGGUCUCUGGGCCGUAACUGACGCUGAGGAGCGAAAGCAUGGGUAGCGAACAGG